rnacentral:rRNA from 1 species
GAUGAACGCUGGCGGCGUGCCUAACACAUGCAAGUCGAACGGUUAAACCGCCCUCGGGCGGACAUAGAGUGGCGAACGGGUGAGUAACACGUGCCCAACCUGCCCCCCUCUCCGGGACAGCCGCGGGAAACCGCGAUUAAUACCGGAUGACGCCCGGGCCCCGCAUGGGGCCCGGGCCAAAGCCCAGGUGGAGGGGGAUGGGGCCGCGGCCCAUCAGGCAGACGGCGGGGUGACGGCCCACCGUGCUUUCGACGGGUAGCCGGGUUGAGAGACCGACCGGCCACAUUGGGACUGAGAUACGGCCCAGACUCCUACGGGAGGCAGCAGUGGGGAAUUUUGCGCAAUGGGGGCAACCCUGACGCAGCAACGCCGCGUGCGGGACGAAGGCCUUCGGGUCGUAAACCGCUU